GACGAACGCUGGCGGCGUGCCUAAUACAUGCAAGUAGAACGCUGAAGGAGGAGCUUGCUUCUCUGGAUGAGUUGCGAACGGGUGAGUAACGCGUAGGUAACCUGCCUGGUAGCGGGGGAUAACUAUUGGAAACGAUAGCUAAUACCGCAUAAGAGUAGAUGUUGCAUGACAUUUGCUUAAAAGGUGCAAUUGCAUCACUACCAGAUGGACCUGCGUUGUAUUAGCUAGUUGGUGGGGUAACGGCUCACCAAGGCGACGAUACAUAGCCGACCUGAGAGGGUGAUCGGCCACACUGGGACUGAGACACGGCCCAGACUCCUACGGGAGGCAGCAGUAGGGAAUCUUCGGCAAUGGACGGAAGUCUGACCGAGCAACGCCGCGUGAGUGAAGAAGGGUGUCGGAUCGUAAAGCUCUGUUGUAAGAGAAGAACGAGUGUGAGAGUGGAAAGGUCACACUGUGACGGUAUCUUACCAGAAAGGGACGGCUAACUACGUG
rnacentral:rRNA from 1 species